UACGUAGGGUGCGAGCGUUAAUCGGAAUUACUGGGCGUAAAGCGUGCGCAGGCGGUUCGUUGUGUCUGAUGUGAAAGCCCCGGGCUUAACCUGGGAACUGCAUUUGUGACUGCACGGCUAGAGUGUGUCAGAGGGGGGUAGAAUUCCACGUGUAGCAGUGAAAUGCGUAGAUAUGUGGAGGAAUACCGAUGGCGAAGGCAGCCCCCUGGGAUAACACUGACGCUCAUGCACGAAAGCGUGGGGAGCAAACAGG
rnacentral:rRNA from 1 species